rnacentral:rRNA from 1 species
UACGUAGGGGGCAAGCGUUGUCCGGAAUCAUUGGGCGUAAAGCGCGCGUAGGCGGUCCGGUAAGUCCGCUGUGAAAGUCGGGGGCUCAACCCUCGGAUGCCGGUGGAUACUGUCGGGCUUGAGUACGGAAGAGGCGAGUGGAAUUCCUGGUGUAGCGGUGAAAUGCGCAGAUAUCAGGAGGAACACCAAUUGCGAAGGCAGCUCGCUGGGACGUUACUGACGCUGAGACGCGAAAGCGUGGGGAGCAAACAGG